GUCUUUCAGUCGCAGCAUGGCAGGGUGGAGUGUGGUUGUCGGGUCCGCCUCAUGUCUCUUACUCUAUUCUGUGAGCCGGCUUGGUUAUGGCUAGGUCACUUGUCUGGAAACAAAAUGACUUAAUUGCCUGUGAAGGUUAGCAUUGGAUUACAGAACUCGUGUGGAGCCAAUGGACUACAUAGCUGGGAUUUCGUAUCCAGAAUGUCUUCUGUCUACUCUGGUCUUUUUGCAAGAAUGAUUAAGGUAUGGAU